AACCCAUGGUGUGGACACUUUCUCAACAAUUCUUUAUAUCUCUCCCAUGCUUCAUAAAGUGACUCGUUCUCUUCCUGGAGAAAUGAUGUGAUAUCAUUUCUCAUCUU